CGGGAUGUAGCUCAGUUGGUAGAGUCCACGUCUGGGGGACGUGAUGUCGCUGGUUCGAGUCCAGUCAUCCCGA
rnacentral:tRNA from 1 species